rnacentral:rRNA from 1 species
CUUGGUCAUUUAGAGGAAGUAAAAGUCGUAACAAGGUUUCCGUAGGUGAACCUGCGGAAGGAUCAUUAAUGAAAGCUCGAGCGAGGUUGUAGCUGGCCCCUUACGGGGGGUGAUGUGCACGCCUCGUCUCCGUCUUCAUCUCUCACCCCUGUGCACCUCUGCGUUGGGCUCCGAGUGUUUGCUCGCUUGGGGCCUGCGUCUUUUCCACAAAAAAACCUUUGCAUGUAUCGGAACGUCUCGUUUGCUGUCGAAGCAAAAACUUGUACAACUUUCAACAACGGAUCUCUUGGCUCUCGCAUCGAUGAAGAACGCAGCGAAAUGCGAUAAGUAAUGUGAAUUGCAGAAUUCAGUGAAUCAUCGAAUCUUCGAACGCACCUUGCGCCUCUUGGUGUUCCGAGGGGCACGCCUGUUUGAGUAUCGUGAAAUUCUCAACCCGACUCCUUUUUUGUGAAAAGGGGGAGGAGGGCUUGGACUUUGGAGGUCUUGCCGGUCCCUUUGUUUGGGUCGGCUCCUCUUGAAUGCAUUAGUGGAGCUUGUCUGCUCUCUCUGCCUCUCGGCGUGAUAAUUCAUCUUGCGUCGACGUGUGAGGGUGGAUGCGGCGUCGCUUCUAACCAUCUCGUCCGAGACGAGUGUGUUUUGAACCCUUUGUUCUCAAAUCAGGUGGGACUACCCGCUGAACUUAAGCAUAUCAAUAAGCGGAGGAAAAGAAACUAACAAGGAUUCCCCUAGUAACUGCGAGUGAAGCGGGAAAAGCUCAAAUUUGAAAUCUGGCGGUCUUUGGCCGUCCGAGUUGUAGUCUGGAGAAGCGCUUUCCGCGCCGGACCGUGUACAAGUCCUCUGGAACGGGGCGUCGUAGAGGGUGAGAAUCCCGUCUUUGACACGGACUGCCGGUGCUCUGUGAUGCGCUCUCGAAGAGUCGAGUUGUUUGGGAAUGCAGCUCAAAACGGGUGGUGAAUUCCAUCUAAAGCUAAAUAUUGGCGAGAGACCGAUAGCGAACAAGUACCGUGAGGGAAAGAUGAAAAGCACUUUGGAAAGAGAGUUAAACAGUACGUGAAAUUGUUGAAAGGGAAACGCUUGAAGUCAGUCGCGUCGUCCGGGAUUCAGCCUUGCGAUCUAGCUCGGUGUACUUUCCGGUUCGACGGGCCAGCAUCGAUUUUGACCGUCGGACAAAGGCGGGGGAAAUGUGGCACCCUUUUCUGGGUGUGUUAUAGUCCCUCGUCGGUAUACGACGGUCGGGAUCGAGGAACUCGGCACGCCUUUGUGGUCGGGGCUUUGCCCACGUCUCGUGCUUAGGAUGCUGGCGUAAUGGCUUUAAACGACCCGUCUUGAAACACGGACC